rnacentral:rRNA from 1 species
UACGUAGGGGGCGAGCGUUGUCCGGAAUCAUUGGGCGUAAAGCGCGUGUAGGCGGCUCGGUAAGUCCGGUGUGAAAACUUGGGGCUCAACCCCAAGCCUGCACUGGAUACUGUCGAGCUCGAGUCCGGGAGGGGAGAGCGGAAUUCCUAGUGUAGCGGUGAAAUGCGCAGAUAUUAGGAAGAACACCGGUGGCGAAGGCGGCUCUCUGGAACGGUACUGACGCUGAGACGCGAAAGCGUGGGGAGCGAAC